GGCGUGGUCAGUGAGGGGAAGGGAACAGGCCGAAAGGGCAUAAAUCCUGGCCAAGUCGGGAGUGGGAAGGGCGAGAGUGUUGCAGACCCGCCAGGGUAACCUGAGAAUGGUUGACUCCAACCGCUGGAAGAUGAGGCACUAGUGGGCCUUCAGAUUGGAGAGGACCAAGCUGAGCGACAGGAAGGUGCGCGCUGGGGCUCUGCGCACAAGCAGACGGAGGGGAUUGCGUGUGCGUGUGCACUCGGCGAGGGGUGGGGGCGGGCACUCCCGCCGCACCAGCCGCCGGAGUUGGGGGGGGGGGGUAGCUCAUAGGUGACGCGGGGCCCUCACGUGACCUGGAGCUGCAGAGCGACGCAGACUUCGGUGCAGUCGUCACUCCCACCUGGGUACCAGCUCCCCGCUGCCCUGCGCCGGACUGGCUGGCACUGGGCCCAAGGAAAGCGGAGCAGUAAAGACAAAUUCCCAGAGAAGCACAAAGAAUGAUGAUGGGUCCUCUGAAGAAUGCAAUGGAGCAAAAGGAAGGAACUGUUUGUCCCCAACUGACUGUUUUCUGCAUGAUGUUGGUUUUUCAUCCAGUUUGAUACUGGAGGAAGUUCCCAUUGAUCCUCAGGCAGAAGAGACAGUACACAACAAAAUAACAUGGAUACCAGAUGGAAAACUGGAAUCAGGACAAAGACACAUCCCCAACUAUAGAACGUUGGAUAAAUCACUCCCCUUGUGCUGACCUCAGCCCUAACACAAUGAUGCUCUAUAACAGUGGCCUGAGAUUUGGGUCAGAAAAUUCAGUUUAAACAUGGAUAUCAUUAGUUGAAGGUUGAGAGAUUUUUUUGUUUUGUUUUGUUUUGUUUUUGGUCUGAAACUACAUGUGCUAGGCAGAAUUCUAAGACAAUCUCCAAUGAUCUUCAUCCUUGGAUAAUUCUCUCCCCCUUUGAGUGUAGGUGGAACCAAUGAAUAUGAAGAGAUACCACUUCUGUAAUUAUGUUAUACGAUAAAAUGGAUAGUAUCUACGUGGGCCUCACCUAAUCAAACAAGUUAUUUAAAAUCAUGGAAUUUUCUUUGACUGUUUACAGAAGAGGAAGUGAGAGACUCAAGGCACAAGAAAAAUUAACUUCACUAUUGCUGGGUCAAAGAUGGAUGAGUCCACGUGGCAAGAAAUUAGAGUAGGAUCGAAGAGCACCUCUAGGAUCUGAGAGCACCCCUAGCUGACAGCCAUCAAGGAAAUUGGGACUGUAGUCCAACACUCACGAGGAACAAGAAUAAUCUUGGAAGCAGAUUUGCCCCAGAAUCUCCAAAGACCUCAAUCCAACCUACAUGGACACCUUGAUUCCAGCCUUGUGAACUCCUGAGGAGAGAACAUGAUCAUGCUGUGCUAGACUUCUGACCUACAGGCUUAUGAGCUAAUACAUGGGUAUAGCUUUCAGCCAUGAAGUUUGGGUGUAGAUGGUAACUAGAGAAAAUGCAUUACCAUGAUAACAGUUUUUAUAGUGCAUGGUGGGGUUGAAGGUUAUGAAUAUAUUCACACUAGCAUUUCGAUGUACUUUCUACAUUUCUAAAUGGAUUAUGGGUUACUUGCUAAUUAGAAAUAAAGCCCUUAGAAUUUAUUCA
ensembl:lncRNA